GACUGCUGACCCAGAGAUCUCCUACUCAUGUGGAAAUAAAUGAACUGAUUAGCAUCAAUGGGAAGAGCAGCAAUGACAGCAAGCUGUGGGACCUCCCCAGCUCCUCAGUGCCUGACAAUAUGGCUGGGAGGUUUCCCUCUGAAUGCUUUGGUGUGUGCAUAUCAGUUACCUCCUGUCCAGGUUGGCAUCUAUUGGAACUGCAUUUUGAUUUCCUGGUUUUAAGAAAAAAGUCCUUUUGUGGUGACUUGGUGACAAGCUGCAGUAAAGCAGCUCCUGGACUUCAUGGGGUACUGUCCUCUGAGACAGGGACUCUUCCAGAACUGCCCAUGUUGGUUAGUAAAGAGCCCUGCAAAAAUACACCUAGGACUCAGGUACGCAACAUUCCUGCAAGUCUCAGAAUGCAAAAGAGGGCAAAUCACUUAUUUGCACCCAAAUCUCUCAGUUGUCUUUGCAUAAAUGUCUCACUAAUCCUCCCAGUUCUCUGGUUAAGAGACCUUAAUUCAAGUCUACCACAUUAUAUCUCAUCAACAUUUUUCAUUUUUCCCCUCUGUCCUUCAGCUCUUGCGCCCAGCCUCUCAUCUCUUAAACGCUUCCCAUCACACCCAUCUUCCCUGUCUCACUUUCCUCUUUGCUUGUCAGUCGUUUCCUCAAAUAAGUCUCAUGCUCCAAAUUAAAAAAAGAAUAAAUAAAUAUAUAAAUAAAUAAAUAAAAUCACAGAGUGAAAGAUUUAUUCAGCAGCAAUAAAUCUAUUAUCUGGCACAUGAUAUGAGUAAGGUGAAGAAUCUUAUUCCUUUUGUAGUUUACUGCAUAUUGGAGUUACCAUGCAAAGUGAUAAAAUAAUUCUGCUGCCGGCAAAGGCACCAUCACGCAGCCAGUAUGAGUCACCAGCAAAAAGCAAAAGAAGUCAAAUAAAUAUAUGAUGCAUUGCCUGUACGUGGGGAGGCCUAAUGUGUGGAGAAGACAAAUAUUGAGGUCUCUGUCUGUUGGAAGACAGCACUGCUGUACCAACAGAGAUGACUACGCAACCAGCUAUGAAGAAGAGGUUGCACUUCACAUCGAGUUAUCUUCCUGUGGCAAGAAAUGGCAUAGGAUGUAACCCAAAAACCUUUAUGGACAUGAGGAUGGGGUCUACAGGCUACAGACAUGGUGACAAUGCAGAAGAUCUUGACAUCUACCUCACCUUUGAUGGGAGUGACUCCACUAAACCAAAGGCUAUUUGACUAGCUUCUACUGUAUCUGAUGUACUUACUUAUCGCCUCCACAAACUGUUCAAAGAAGCAGUAUGGGAACAGCGGCUCAGGCAGCUCUCUGAAAAACAUCUUGAGUGCUCCGGUGACAACGUGGAUGU